AUGUUAUCAUGACACAACUGAUUUUUGUGUGUUGAUUUUGUAACUGCAACUUUACUGAAUUCAAAAUACAGUAAAAUUACUAUUUUAGCAGGUUGUGUGUAUCUGUGAGUGUGAGUGUGUGUGUGUGUGUGUGUGUGUGUAAAACCUUUAGAUCACAUU
rnacentral:sRNA from 1 species